AUUGAACGCUGGCGGCAUGCCUUACACAUGCAAGUCGAACGGCAGCACGGGUUCUUGCACCUGGUGGCGAGUGGCGAACGGGUGAGUAAUACAUCGGAACAUGUCCUGUAGUGGGGGAUAGCCCGGCGAAAGCCGGAUUAAUACCGCAUACGAUCUACGGAUGAAAGCGGGGGCCCUUCGGGCCUCGCGCUAUAGGGUUGGCCGAUGGCUGAUUAGCUAGUUGGUGGGGUAAAGGCCUACCAAGGCGACGAUCAGUAGCUGGUCUGAGAGGGCGACCAGCCACACUGGGACUGAGACACGGCCCAGACUCCUAAGGGAAGACACAGUGGGGAAUUUUGGACAAUGGGCGAAAGCCUGAUCCAGCAAUGCCGCGUGUGUGAAGAAGGACUUCGGGUUGGAAAGCACUUUUGUCCGGAAAGAAAUCCUUGGCCCUAAUACGGUCGGGGGAUGACGGUACCGGAAGAAUAAGCACCGGCUAACUACGUG
rnacentral:rRNA from 1 species